UAGGGAAUCUUCGGCAAUGGACGAAAGUCUGACCGAGCAACGCCGCGUGAGUGAAGAAGGUUUUCGGAUUGUAAACUUCUUUGACGAGGGACGAAGAAUGACGGUACCUCGAAAACAAGCCACGGCUAACUACGUGCCAGCAGCCGCGGUAAUACGUAGGUGGCGAGCGUUGUCCGGAUUUACUGGGUGUAAAGGGCGAGUAGGCGGGAUUGCAAGUCAGAUGUGAAAUCUAUCGGCUUAACUGAUAGACUGCAUUUGAAACUGCGGUUCUUGAGUGAUGGAGAGGAAAGCGGAAUUCCUGGUGUAGCGGUGAAAUGCGUAGAUAUCAGGAAGAACACCGGUGGCGAAGGCGGCUUUCUGGACUGUAACUGACGCUGAGGCGCGAAAGCGUGGGGAGUGAACG
rnacentral:rRNA from 1 species